UAGGAUUUGUUAGGAUUUCACUAGGAUUUGGUUUAAAAUUUGGUUAGGAUUUAGAAUUUGAUUAGGAUUUUAUUAAGAUUUUAUUAGGAUUUGAUCAAGGAUUUGAUUAGGAUUUAAAAUUUGAUUAGGAUUUAGUUAUGAUUUAGGAUUUUAUUAAGAUUUGAUUUAGAUUUGAUUAAGAUUUGAUUAAGCUUUGGUCUAAGAUUUGAUUAGGAUUUAUUCAAAAUUUGAUUAAGAUUUAUAAUUUAUUUAGAGCUUUAUUAGGAUUGAUUUAAAGCUUCAUUAGAAUUUAAUUAGAAUUUUAUUUAGGAUUUGAUUCAGGAUUUAAUUAGGAUUUUUUUAGGAUUUUAUUAGAUUUUGAUUAAGAUUUAAUUAAAAUUUCUAUUUUUAAUAU
rnacentral:lncRNA from 1 species